UGUGAUCCGUCUGAUCUGUCAGGUCAAUUAAUGAACUGGAUCCAACGCCUCUCCUUUUUUAUUAUUUUUAAUUCUGAUUUCUAUUUUUUUUAUUUCUUUUAAUUCCAUUUUAUUUCUAAAAUUCAUAUCUCUCUUAUUAUUGGUCCAAAAAUUAUGGGACCAAUUGCAUUAUUUCUCUUUUAAUUUCUAGUUUCUAAAAAUGAUUUUU
rnacentral:lncRNA from 1 species